UUAGAACUUUUUAUUGUCAGAAACCACCAGAAGACUAUAGUACUAACCCUAAUUUUCAGAAACAAUUCUCAAUCCAUUUUCAUCGUCCUAUUUAUACACAAACUUAGCAAAGAUAGCACCGAAAGAAAGCUAUGAAGAUUUAUCAAUCUCAACAUCAAAGAGGUAAGAGAAAGCUGCUUCUGAUUUCAGUAAUAGAACCAUUUCCUAAAGUUGUUUUUAUUUUAUUUCCAAGUUUCAACCAAAGGGAAACCAUCAAAAUCCAUCUUCGUACUAACAAUGAUAUAACUUAUAUUAGAUUGUUUUUGAAUUAUAUUAGUCUGCUGGAAACUCUUUUUGCUGAAAUCUUGGUUGAUAUCCUAAUUCUGUUGACAAGAAUUAGCCCCAAAUUUCACGGGAUUGGGGUUGCGAGGAAGCUUAAGAGUGUUCUCUUCUCCUUUAAGUUGCUUUCAAGUACUGUUUUGAUAUUUUGGAAUUAUUUUCAUUGCUUAGGCAUUCGCUUAUCUGUGUUCCCAGCUGCCUUAAUCAUGAUUUCCGCAGAUUCUUGUUUUAUGUAUUAAUUUGGUUUUUUUAUGUUGUCUCCUCUUGUCGUUUUGUCUUUUUGUUUUCUUGAGCCGAGUAUUUUUCGGAAACAGCCUCUCUACUCCUUUGGGUAGGGGUAAGGUCUGCGUACACACUACCCUCCCCAUACCCCAUUAGUGGGAUUAUACUGGGUUGUUAUUGUUGUAUAUAAAAACAAGUAUAUACAAGCAAACAUGCAGAAAUGCAAUUUAGUCCAUCUAUGACAUGUUAUAUGAAUGAAAGGGCAAAGAUUAACGGACUAUUGCUAAAUUAUGUUGUUUUAUGUGUAGGAGCAUCGGAAGACAACGACGAGUGAAGGUUGCAAAAAAAGAUGACGAAAAUGCAAGAAAAUAGCAAAAAAUGCCAAGUACCCAAACCGCGCUACAGACCAGGCUUCGCGAGGUCUAUAUCCAGCUUGACCGCGCUACAGACCAGGCUUCGCGAGGUCUAUAGCCAGGUUGACCACGAUCGCGGGUUAAAAGUCUCCAACCCGAAUUUGGACUCAAGGACUUCAACUCUAGCCUAUAAAUACUCCUUAAACAUGUCUAAGAGAAUAGGAGGACGUUUUUAGUGCAAAUUCGACCUAAAGAAGACGCUUUUGGAGAGAGGAUUCGACUUAAGGAGGUAAGAACACGCUAGGAGCAAGGCUAAGAAUUCUUCUACGAGUUUUUCACUUCCUUCUUCCUAUUUCCAUUAUUGGUUAUGAUCAAUUCUAGUAUUAUACUUUAGCAUACUAUUAUGAAUAGCUAAUUUGUUAUCUAGGGUUUUGAUGGAACCUUUUGUGGGAUGGAUUCUUAUUACGUUUUUAUAUAAUUGAGUCGUUGGAUUUCUCUUCUUGUUCAACUACGUGUUUAUUGAUGUUGAUUGAAUGGCCAUCAAUUGACUGUGCC
rnacentral:lncRNA from 1 species